rnacentral:pre_miRNA from 1 species
AAUAGGAGAAUAACAAAUCAGAUUUUUCUUCCAAAUUUUCAAUUUUUUCCUCCUGAAAAAAAUUCAAAUUCAAGAAAAAAAAUGCUAAAAAUCAAGAGGAAAAUUUUGAUUUGUCAUUCUCCUAUU